GAGAUUUUCCUCACGGCCGACCGGACGCGCAGCCGCAGAAGGUUUGUUAUAAGGCGAUGCUGGUGUUGGGAACCCCAUACCGAGCAUGGGUCUAUAAAAAGGCCUCUGGAAAGCGGUCCACUUCCUGUCUGCACGUGGCCACGAGGAUCCAUGAGAGGACUGCAGCUCAAAAAGUUGGAGAACCUUGAAUGCAGUGAGAGCAGAAGAAGAGCGCCAUGGAAAUAAAUAGACUAGGCUUCUGGCUGAAGAAGAAUUGCUCAAUUUAUUGUAUCCAGAACAGAAUCAUAGAAUAAUAGAGCUGGAAGAGAACACAUAGGCCAUCUAGUCCAACCCACUGCAUGCACUCAUAUGCAUAUAUACACAACAUACAUAUAUAUAUAUAUAUGUAUAUUCAUAUUCACAUACACUUAUAAUGCUCCAAAUUGUCCAUACAGGAGGCUGCAAUAAUGACACCUUUGCUUCCUGAUUGCUUAUUUAUUUUAUUUGCAA